UACGAAGGGAGCUAGCGUUGUUCGGAGUUACUGGGCGUAAAGCGCGCGCAGGCGGCGGUGCUGGCCCGGCGUGAAAGCCCCCCGGCUCAACCGGGGAGGGUCGUCGGGGACCGCACCGCUUGAGGGCGGUAGGGGCUGGUGGAAUGCCUGGUGUAGUGGUGAAAUGCGUAGAGAUCAGGCGGAACACCCCGUGGCGAAGGCGGCCAGCUGGGGCCGUCCCUGACGCUGAGGCGCGAAGGCGUGGGGGAGCGAACGGG
rnacentral:rRNA from 1 species